rnacentral:rRNA from 1 species
UACGAAGGGGGCUAGCGUUGUUCGGAAUUACUGGGCGUAAAGCGCACGUAGGCGGAUUUGCCAGUCAGGGGUGAAAUCCCGGGGCUCAACCUCGGAACUGCCUCUGAUACAGCAAGUCUUGAGUCCGGAAGAGGUGGGUGGAAUUCCUAGUGUAGAGGUGAAAUUCGUAGAUAUCGGGAGGAACACCGGUGGCGAAGGCGGCGACCUGGGUAGAUACUGACGCUGAGGUGCGAAAGCGUGGGGAGCAAACAGG